CCCUAAUACAUGCACAUGGAAACUUGUAAAAGGCAUAAGAAGACUGCAAUCACUGUAUAAAUUCUCUAAUUCAAUUAAAUAUUUGUUUUUAUUUAGCGCAAAUUCGAACUACAGACGUCUCAAUGGGCUUCAUGCCGGUAAUAGUAAGGAAAACAUACAAUGAAAAAGGGAUCAUGAAUACAAAGAAUGUGUGGCAGGAUUAAUUGGCUCAGGUGCUGUAGGGCAGAUGAUUACUAGCAGUGGCCUCAUGGGGCGCUAUAAAAGGCAAAGAAGCCUUCACUUGGCCAGGGGCAGCAUUUGGCCAUUGGAACCGCCCACUUCCUGUUUGCACACCUCCGGUUAGCCUCACAGGUAAAGUAGCGGUGGUAGGCUAAUGACAGGAGUUUGUUCGCUUCCUCUUACUGACACGCUCUUUCAGCUCCGGAUGAGACCUGCAGGCACAGAUAUUGAGAAAAAUACAGCCUCUGCAAUUGAGUGUGCCUCCCAGGUGACGAACAGUCUGUCUGCGCCGGGACUUUCUGACGCUCCCACCUGCUGAACAGCUGCUGCUUUUUAUAUAUUGAAUUUUAGAAUUAUUUUAAGGAACUGUCACCGCUCGUGAUCAGAAUCCCUGCGGACUCCUGACCAGAGUUCUGCCGGGCCCAGGUGCUCCUCAGCUGCCUCUGUCUGAGCCUGAGCAACGGAGGACUAAACGGGGCAUCACGCCUGAAUCCUCCACCACCAACAAGAAUAAAAGCUCGGCCGCACUCCGUCCAUUGAGCAGCACCCAGGGGCGGACUCACUCUCUCACGAGAGUGUCUUUUAUUUUGUUUUUAGCAUUUUUAUACAAUUCUUUUAGUACUGUGUUUUAGUUGUGCAUUUUAUGUGUAAUCCACCUUUGUUUCCCCCCUCCCUCAGUGCUGAGGACUCAGGUGCCAGCCCUGAGUUUUAGGUGGAGGCUAUCCCCCCAGUUUGGAGUGACGUGUCCUUGGGUGAAGGGUUCACAAGUGUGUGUGUGAGUGUGGUCUGCAUCACGUGAGUGGGUUGAAAUUUUAUCUUUGUUCUCUGGGAGCCUCCACCUCCCUUAAGUCUUCUGGUCCUCAGCAUAUUGAAUCUGUUUGUGCAUGUCUUUUAAACGGGUCCAUUUUUAAUUGGUUUUAACGGUUUGUAAUAAAACAAUUUUAAUCUUGA